GGCAUGUCUUUGACGUACUAUGUACUGAAAGAUGGACUGCUCAGUAAUACUCACUUUAUUUGAUGUACAUUAUACAUAACUACGUUAAAGUGUAGCUAACAUAUGUACAGUAAGAGUGAGACCUAUCAGCUAGUUGUUAAGGUAAUGGCUUAACAAGGCAAUAACGGGUAACGGUAUUACUUUGUAAUAUUCCGGAGAAGGAGCCUGAGAGACGGCUACUAAGUCUAAGGAUUGCAGCAGGGGCGAAACUUGACCUAUGGAUAUUAUCUGAGGCAGUUAUGGGAAGUAACAUAGUUGUUUCACAUUUUAAACG
rnacentral:rRNA from 1 species